UGGGGGAUAUUGCACAAUGGAGGAAACUCUGAUGCAGCAACGCCGCGUGAGGGAAGAAGGUCUUCGGAUUGUAAACCUUAGUAGUCAGGGACGAAAGAAAUGACGGUACCUGAAGAGUAAGCUCCGGCUAACUACGUGCCAGCAGCCGCGGUAAUACGUAGGGAGCGAGCGUUGUCCGGAUUUACUGGGUGUAAAGGGUGCGUAGGCGGGACUGCAGGUCAGACGUGAAAUACCGAGGCUUAACUUCGGGGCUGCGUUUGAAACUGUGGUUCUUGAGUGAAGUAGAGGCAGGCGGAAUUCCUAGUGUAGCGGUGAAAUGCGUAGAUAUUAGGAGGAACACCAGUGGCGAAGGCGGCCUGCUGGGCUUUAACUGACGCUGAAGCACGAAAGCAUGGGGAGCAAACAGGAUUAGAUACCCUGGUAGUCCAUGCCAUAAACGAUGAUAGCUAGGUGUGGGGGGACUGACCCCUUCCGUGCCGCAGCAAACGCAAUAAGCUAUCCACCUGGGGAGUACGACCGCAAGGUUGAAACUCAAAUGAAUUGACGGGGGUCAUAGCUGUUUUU
rnacentral:rRNA from 1 species